rnacentral:rRNA from 1 species
AUACGGAGGAUGCAAGCGUUAUCCGGAUUUAUUGGGUUUAAAGGGUGCGUAGGCUGUUCGGAAAGUCCGGGGUGAUAGCCCGGCGCCUAACGCCGGAACUGCCUUUGAUACUUCAGAGCUGGAAUACGGAUGCCGUGGGAGGAAUGAGUAGUGUAGCGGUGAAAUGCAUAGAUAUUACUCAGAACACCGAUUGCGAAGGCAUCUCACGAAUCCGUCAUUGACGCUGAGGCACGAAAGCGUGGGGAUCAAACAGGAUUAGAUACCCUGGUAGUCCACGCAGUAAACGAUGAUGACUAACCGUCGGCGAUACACAGUCGGUGGCCAAGCGAAAGCGAUAAGUCAUCCACCUGGGGAGUACGUUCGCAAGAAUGAAACUCAAAUGAAUUGGCGGGG